AGCAAGGCUCAGCCUCAAGAUUCACAGAAUCUCAGACGCAGCCUAGGCCGCACCAGGAUGUCGGACACCGAGGAGCAGGAAUAUGAGGAGUGAGUGCUGCACUGGGAGGGGGAGCAGCCGGAAGAGGAGGCUGCGGAGGAGGAGGAGGAAGCCCCCGAAGAGCCGGAGCCGGUGGCAGAGCCAGAAGAGGAACGCCCCAAACCAAGCCGCCCCGUGGUGCCUCCUUUGAUCCCGCCAAAGAUCCCAGAAGGGGAGCGCGUUGACUUCGAUGACAUCCACCGCAAGCGCAUGGAGAAAGACCUGCUGGAGCUGCAGACACUCAUCGAUGUACAUUUCGAGCAGCGGAAGAAGGAGGAAGAGGAGCUGGUUGCCUUGAAAGAGCGCAUUGAGCGGCGCCGAUCGGAGAGAGCUGAGCAACAGCGCUUCAGAACUGAGAAGGAACGCGAACGUCAGGCUAAGCUGGCGGUUCAAGCAAUUCUCCUGCCUCAGCCUCCCGAGUAGCUGGGACUACAGGAGGAGAAGAUGAGGAAGGAAGAGGAAGAGGCCAAGAAGCGGGCAGAGGAUGAUGCCAAGAAAAAGAAGG
rnacentral:sRNA from 1 species